UACGAAGGGGGCUAGCGUUGUUCGGAAUUACUGGGCGUAAAGCGCACGUAGGCGGAUACUUAAGUCAGGGGUGAAAUCCCGGGGCUCAACUCCGGAACUGCCUUUGAUACUGGGUAUCUCGAGUCCGGAAGAGGUGAGUGGAAUUCCGAGUGUAGAGGUGAAAUUCGUAGAUAUUCGGAGGAACACCAGUGGCGAAGGCGGCUCACUGGUCCGGUACUGACGCUGAGGUGCGAAAGCGUGGGGAGCGAACAGG
rnacentral:rRNA from 1 species